CAAUAGCGUAUAUUAAAGUUGUUGCGGUUAAAAGCUCGUAGUUGGAUUUCUGCCGAGGACGACCGGUCCGCCCUCUGGGUGAGCAUCUGGCUCGGCCUUGACAUCUUCUUGGUGAACGUUGCUGCACUUGACUGUGUGGUGCGGUACCCAGGACUUUUACUUUGAGGAAAUUAGAGUGUUUCAAGCAGGCAUACGCCUUGAAUACAUUAGCAUGGAAUAAUAAGAUAGGACCUUGGUUCUAUUUUGUUGGUUUCUAGAGCUGAGGUAAUGAUUAAAAGGGGCAGUCAGGGGCACUCGUAUUCCGUCGAGAGAGGUGAAAUUCUACA
rnacentral:rRNA from 1 species